GCAGAUGGACGGGGCAUAGCUGGCUGGGGAUAACACCAGCCGGAGGAAAGUCCGGACUGCUUGGGACAGCGUAUCGGCUAAUGACCGAGCGGGGCGACCCGACGAUUAGAGCAACAGUGACGAAGCGAUUGAAAAAUAUCGAGUGAAACGGGCAAUCUCUGCGUGCAGCAACUUCAAAUAGGCUCCCUAUACAGGUCCCAUGUUGGGGGCGGGUAGAAGGCUUGACAUUUUGUGGUAACACAUUAUGCAGACUAAUUAUGCCCACUACCCCGGGGUGGUUGGAAACAACUGGCCCAGGGCAGAACAAAAUCCGGCUUAUAGUUCAUCUGUGGAA
rnacentral:RNase_P_RNA from 1 species